GUGGGCGGAAUUCGUGGUGUAGCGGUGAAAUGCUUAGAUAUCACGAAGAACUCCGAUUGCGAAGGCAGCUCACUGGAGUGUAACUGACGCUGAUGCUCGAAAGUGUGGGUAUCAAACAGGAUUAGAUACCCUGGUAGUCCACACAGUAAACGAUGAAUACUCGCUGUUUGCGAUAUACAGUAAGCGGCCAAGCGAAAGCGUUAAGUAUUCCACCUGGGGAGUACGCCGGCAACGGUGAAACUCAAAGGAAUUGACGGGGGCCCGCACAAGCGGAGGAACAUGUGGUUUAAUUCGAUGAUACGCGAGGAACCUUACCCGGGCUUAAAUUGCAACUGACUGAAUCGGAAACGGUUCUUUCUUCGGACAGUUGUGAAGGUGCUGCAUGGUUGUCGUCAGCUCGUGCCGUGAGGUGUCGGCUUAAGUGCCAUAACGAGCGCAACCCUUAUCUUUAGUUACUAACAGGUUAUGCUGAGGACUCUAGAGAGACUGCCGUCGUAAGAUGUGAGGAAGGUGGGGAUGACGUCAAAUCAGCACGGCCCUUACGUCCGGGGCUACACACGUGUUACAAUGGGGGGUACAGAAGGCAGCUACCUGGUGACAGGAUGCUAAUCCCAAAAACCUCUCUCAGUUCGGAUCGAAGUCUGCAACCCGACUUCGUGAAGCUGGAUUCGCUAGUAAUCGCGCAUCAGCCACGGCGCGGUGAAUACGUUCCCGGGCCUUGUACACACCGCCCGUCAAGCCAUGAAAGCCGGGGGUACCUGAAGUACGUAACCGCAAGGAGCGUCCUAGGGUAAAACUGGUAAUUGGGGCUAAGUCGUAACAAGGUAGCCGUACCGGAAGGUGCGGCUG
rnacentral:rRNA from 1 species